GGAGUUAGCCGGUGCUUCUUCUGUGAGUGAUGUCCUUCCUGCCGGUUAUUGACCCGCAGGCCUUCUUCCUCACUGAAAGUGCUUUACAACCCGAAGGCCUUCUUCACACACGCGGCAUGGCUGGAUCAGGGUUGCCCCCAUUGUCCAAUAUUCCCCACUGCUGCCUCCCGUAGGAGUCUGGGCCGUGUCUCAGUCCCAGUGUGGCUGAUCAUCCUCUCAGACCAGCUACGGAUCGUCGCCUUGGUGAGCCGUUACCUCACCAACCAGCUAAUCCGACAUAGGCUCAUCCGAUAGCGCGAGGCCCGAAGGUCCCCCUCUUUCCCCCGUAGGGCGUAUGCGGUAUUAGCCUGGGUUUCCCCAGGUUAUCCCCCACUACCGGGCAGAUUCCUAUGCAUUACUCACCCGUCCGCCGCUCGCCACCAGGGAGCAAGCUCCCCGUGCUGCCGCUCGACUUGCAUGUGUUAGGCCUGCCGCCAGCGUUCAAUCUGAACCAAGAUCAAAUUCUGA
rnacentral:rRNA from 1 species